GCCUUCUGCGCUAUGGGGCAGUGCGACCCCGUGCCCCAAGCACGUAAUGAAGGGUGGGGCUGCGGCCUUCUGCGCUAUGGGGCAGUGCGGCCUUCUGGCCCCAAGCACAAAAUGGAGGCUGGCGCACAGUGGCUUUAAGCUGUGUUGGGUGAUAGAGACGUCACGGUGUUGGGCGGAACCGCCUCCCACAGCGCUGGGCUGUAUGGACGGCCUUUUGUGGUGCUGGAAGGAAAGAAGGCAGAAGGAAAGAAGCUAGAGUACUGAUGUUUAGAGAACUGGAGUACUGAGAUGAUUUUGUUAAUAUGCAUUAAGAAAAUUUAACAUGUAAAAUAAGAUUCUUACAGAUAAGGCCAGAGGAACCAAAUGUUUUGACUGCUAAUAGCUUGGUUUCACAACACUAAGAUUCAUGUCUCUGCGCGACACAUUGCCACUCUGAAUGGACAGCCUCUGCAGCACUUCUGAGCCGUGUGUAAAUGCUGUUGUCCCUUCUAGGGGAAGAUGGACUGGAUGAAGGGAUAUGAUCCAAAUCAUACAGGCAGCCUUUGACUAAUCUAGGAUUAUACUCUGAAGGUGCGAUGUUUGAUCUGAGAGAGGACAGAUUAACACACCACACUUGGAAGCUCGACUCUAAUAGCUCGCUGUCAAAGGAGUGCUGACAUCUUGGAGAACUGCACCCUGGAGGACUGAGUAACGUUCAGUUACUCUGCAACGUGACCACUUCCAUACGUAGACGCCUAUGACAAAGGUUAAGGGCAGAGCUAACUUUGUUCCCACCACACUCAGAGAUAAACAUUUCACUAACUUCACUACGAGAAGAAUCAUGCCAAUUGUAGUCUGAUGCUUUGUAGCAAAGAUUACUUCACUGUUUUGAAAUCUAAUUGCACUUCCAUAAAUCAGGUGAAGAGUGGUGGAUGUACUGCACAGGAUAUCUGUUAAUCUCACGGAAAUAGUAUUGGUUCUAUGCAAAAAUACUUGUCUCCUCCCUUCCUUCUCUCCCUACUCUGCUUUUUAUUUCUUGAAUUCGUAUGGUGAAUUUAUCCUACGUCGUUAUUCUAGAAUUACUAAGACGUGCAUGCUGUACGUAUUUAUAAAGUUCAUGGCCGUACUGGGCUUUGACUGCUUGGUCUCUCUAGGUAGUACAAUAAUGGAACUAAAAGAAUAUUAAAUUCGCUAAUUCUGAAGUCAAAACUGGGGGAAACCUUCCGAAGUCUCAAUGACCCACAGAUCAGUCCCAUGAGCAUCUGUAUGUAAAGGUACCACAGGACUUGUGUCAGGGAAGAAAUCACAUGAAGAUCGUGAAGCAACUGCUUAAAAUAGGCUUAGAUUAAUAGGCUAUAUCAUCCUGCAGUCACAAUUCAUAUAGGAGGAUAGAAUUCCCACCCCCCCC